GAACGCUGGCGGCGUGCCUAAUACAUGCAAGUCGAACGAGUUCUGAUUAUUGAAAGGUGCUUGCAUCUUGAUUUAAUUUUGAACGAGUGGCGGACGGGUGAGUAACACGUGGGUAACCUGCCCUUAAGUGGGGGAUAACAUUUGGAAACAGAUGCUAAUACCGCAUAAAUCCAAGAACCGCAUGGUUCUUGGCUGAAAGAUGGCGUAAGCUAUCGCUUUUGGAUGGACCCGCGGCGUAUUAGCUAGUUGGUGAGGUAACGGCUCACCAAGGCAAUGAUACGUAGCCGAACUGAGAGGUUGAUCGGCCACAUUGGGACUGAGACACGGCCCAAACUCCUACGGGAGGCAGCAGUAGGGAAUCUUCCACAAUGGACGCAAGUCUGAUGGAGCAACGCCGCGUGAGUGAAGAAGGCUUUCGGGUCGUAAAACUCUGUUGUUGGAGAAGAAUGGUCGGCAGAGUAACUGUUGUCGGCGUGACGGUAUCCAACCAGAAAGCCACGGCUAACUACGUGCCAGCAGCCGCGGUAAUACGUAGGUGGCAAGCGUUAUCCGGAUUUAUUGGGCGUAAAGCGAGCGCAGGCGGUUUUUUAAGUCUGAUGUGAAAGCCCUCGGCUUAACCGAGGAAGUGCAUCGGAAACUGGGAAACUUGAGUGCAGAAGAGGACAGUGGAACUCCAUGUGUAGCGGUGAAAUGCGUAGAUAUAUGGAAGAACACCAGUGGCGAAGGCGGCUGUCUGGUCUGUAACUGACGCUGAGGCUCGAAAGCAUGGGUAGCGAACAGGAUUAGAUACCCUGGUAGUCCAUGCCGUAAACGAUGAAUGCUAGGUGUUGGAGGGUUUCCGCCCUUCAGUGCCGCAGCUAACGCAUUAAGCAUUCCGCCUGGGGAGUACGACCGCAAGGUUGAAACUCAAAGGAAUUGACGGGGGCCCGCACAAGCGGUGGAGCAUGUGGUUUAAUUCGAAGCAACGCGAAGAACCUUACCAGGUCUUGACAUCUUUUGAUCACCUGAGAGAUCAGGUUUCCCCUUCGGGGGCAAAAUGACAGGUGGUGCAUGGUUGUCGUCAGCUCGUGUCGUGAGAUGUUGGGUUAAGUCCCGCAACGAGCGCAACCCUUAUGACUAGUUGCCAGCAUUUAGUUGGGCACUCUAGUAAGACUGCCGGUGACAAACCGGAGGAAGGUGGGGAUGACGUCAAAUCAUCAUGCCCCUUAUGACCUGGGCUACACACGUGCUACAAUGGAUGGUACAACGAGUUGCGAGACCGCGAGGUCAAGCUAAUCUCUUAAAGCCAUUCUCAGUUCGGACUGUAGGCUGCAACUCGCCUACACGAAGUCGGAAUCGCUAGUAAUCGCGGAUCAGCACGCCGCGGUGAAUACGUUCCCGGGCCUUGUACACACCGCCCGUCACACCAUGAGAGUUUGUAACACCCGAAGCCGGUGGCGUAACCCUUUUAGGGAGCGAGCCGUCUAAGGUGGGACAAAUGAUUAGGGUGAAG
rnacentral:rRNA from 2 species